GUACUAUUGAUUUUAAAUGUUCUAUUGAUCAGGCAUUUGAUAAAAUUGACUCUGUACGAAAGCGGAGUGAAACUAUAAAAGUUGGUGUGUACGCCAGAGUAGAUUUUUUUAUGAAAAACUGUAGUAGUUACUGUAGAGUUUAUUUUGUGUAAAGUUACGUCCAAGAAGGAUAUUUUCAAAUUCACUUCUUGUUCCAUUGUGAAAGAGAUAGAAUUGUGUCUACUAUUUAUAUAAUUAAGAAAAAUACGUGCUUCAUUUUUCUGACUUAAAAGCAGCAAAAAUAUCAUCAACAUAUUGUUAUAGAUAUAUAGGCGAAACUACUCGCCAUCUCAAGACACGAAUAACUUAACAUUAUAAGAGAGACAAAAAAUCACAUAUCUAUAAACAUCUCCAUAGUAAUUAAAAUUGUUUUAUGCAAUUAAAUGAAAAGUGUUUUUCCGUUUUAGAUUCAGCAUCUAAUAAGUUCUAAUUAAAACUUAAAGAAAGCAUGCUCAUAGAAUGGUUAAAACCUGGUUUGAACAAACAAGUCAACCAUGUCCAAAUGACACUUUCUGUUUAGUUAUUAUUUUCUAUGUAUCCGGGAGAUGGCGAGUAGUUUCGCUAAUAUAACAGAUGAUACAUCCUGUAUAUACGAAUUGACACACCACAAACAAUUUGAAUUCUAAAGGAAUAGAAUUUAGAAGAAAAGAAUUUAGAAAUUUUUGUGAG